rnacentral:lncRNA from 1 species
CCUGAGGUCUUGGGUUCAAAUCUUGGUGUGAACAAAAAAGGUUUAGUUUUUGCAAUUUAUGGUCAAGGGUGCAUGGGGUGGAAUUGGAUUGGAAAUCAAAUACUCGGUAGUUAUCAGAUUGUAGGAUAGGGUUGUUGGGAUUAUCUUGGUUUGUUUUAUUUUUUUAUUUUUCUUUCUUUUCUCCUAAAAAUCAGCUUAUUUUUCCCACGUUCAUUUUUUUUUCUCUUUGGUUGACUAAUCCUUUUGUGUAUUCCUUUCUUCUUCCUCCCUAUUCCGUUGCUCCAAAUCAAAUCCAAGCGUUACCACUUGUUUCAAUCAGUAUCGUUGUUUUGCUCAUCA